rnacentral:rRNA from 1 species
GAUGAACGCUAGCGGCAGGCUUAAUACAUGCAAGUCGAGGGGCAGCAUAAGUAGCAAUACUUGAUGGCGACCGGCAAACGGGUGCGGAACACGUACGCAACCUUCCUUUAAGUGGGGAAUAGCCCGGGGAAACCCGGAUUAAUACCCCGUAAUAUUAUGAUGUGGCAUCACAUUAUAAUUAUAGAUUCAUCGCUUAAGAUGGGCGUGCGCCUGAUUAGGUAGUUGGCGGAGUAAUAGCCCACCAAGCCUGCGAUCAGUAACUGGUGUGAGAGCACGACCAGUCACACGGGCACUGAGACACGGGCCCGACUCCUACGGGAGGCAGCAGUAAGGAAUAUUGGUACAAUGGACGCAAGUCUGAACCAGCCAUGCCGCGUGGAGGAUGAAGGUCCUCUGGAUUGUUAAACUUCUUUUAUUUGGGAAGAAAUGUGAUGUAUUCUUUUAUCACUUGUACGGUACCAGAUGAAUAAGCACCGGCU